UCUGGGUCUUGUGUUGGGUGCCAACUUUGGGGGAUGACACCACAGGAUGGGUCCAGCUGAGAGCCCGGGGCUUGACCAUCAGCACCCAGGGCUUUCUCAUGGGCGGCCUCAGUGCUAGGGCCCUCCAGAGAAGGUGGCCAUCCCUGCAGGACCAUCCAUCCCAGUCUUGUGGGGGGUGUAGGGAAUUGAGAUGCUCCCCAUCCUGUGCUUGACUCCAUGAUCAGCUUUUUGGAGGCCAGCUGCCCCUUGUCAUUCUGAUGAGUGAUGUGGUCCUCAGCUCCACAGGGAGGGCCAGAAAGGUGCUGUAGCUCCGGAGAGCAGGCAGGGAAGCCAGACUGGGGUGACAGAGCCAGGACAGCUCUUGGCUGCCAGGGACAGGGGGUGGGCUCUGAAGUUGGGGAGCUGCAGGCAGGUACCUGUCUCACGGGAGUGCAGGCGAAGACACCUAUGGGUGAUGGUCUGGUGUCCCCAUCUGUGGUGGGACAGGCUUGAGGAUGUCAUGCUGAUCCCACCCUCCCUUCUCCUUCAGGGGACCCCAGUGCCAUGAUGAAGCCGCUGGUGUUCAGCCCUGGCUCUGCCGUCCACCUGGAGGCCAGGGUUGACUUCAGUCCUGGCAUCUCCCUGAAGAUCUCUGUGGACCAGUGCUAUGGGACCAGCUCAGAGCAGCUGGGGCGCUCCAGGAGGAUCUUCAUGGUGGUGAACAGCCAGGGGUCAGUUCCCAUUGGGUGGGAGGUGGGAACUGCCUCUCCGGGCACCCCAAGGUCCUGCAAGGCAUUCUGAUGGGGAGGGAUGUCCAGGGCCUGGGGACAGCCUGGGAAUGUCCCUGUGGUGCUCUCCUGGCUCAGGUGCCUGCACGGGCAGAAGCUGGUGACCAUGUCUGUCCAACAUCGGAGAGGGGUGUCUACUCUCCAGCUCACCAUCCCAGCUCCCGUCCUGGAGGAUGAGAUCGAGGAGGAAGAGGUCUACGUGCACUGCCUGCUGACAGCGUGGGGCACCGUGGGCACCCGGGGACAUGGCACCAGGUCCUGCUUCUACAGCCAAGCCACAGACAGGUACGCUCAGCCCUGGCACAGGCUCCCUCAUGGUGGCCCA
rnacentral:lncRNA from 1 species